GCCGUUGGUGCGGCAGAGUCGGAGCGGCGGCGGCCGGCGCGGCCCCGGGGAGAGGGCUCUGACGAGAGAGGGACCGACAGACCCACGGCGAGGGAGGAGCCAACCCCCGGCAAAGGAGCGGCCACGGCGAGAGAGGAACCGAGCCCUGGCAAGGGAUUGUCUGACCCCCUGCGAGGGAGUGAGCCCCGGAUAAAAAAAGUCUAAAUGUGUGAGUCAAACCAAAAGCUUGCUUUAUUUAUAGAUGACGGAUACACAUUUACUUUAUGGCUACUGGACAGCAGAACGUAAAAAACUAGGCAUCCAAAACUGAACUCCCAGAACCCAGAGGAAAGCCAGAGAUUCUGAGGGACCGCAGAGUUCCAGGACCCUGCGUACCAGGAAAGGGUGGCGGUGCCAUAGGGCAGGACAUUGACACUGCUGAAACAAUCGAUCCUCCAGGCACAAAGGCAGCAGCGUUUCCAUGGGCAGCUGAGUGUGUGGAGCAGGCAGUGCAGGAGCAGGAAGAGGAAGAAGGAGGAGACCCUUAAGAGACGACUGCCUGCACCCUCAGAUGCGUGGGCCUCUGUAAGUUUUGUGCAGAACCUCCUGAUGCCUGAGCAUGCAGAUUGGCCCAGAAAAUUGCGAUGGCAAAACUGGAGUCCAGAGCCGUUCCAGGGGGUGUUUCCUGCAGCCACAAAGGCAGGGGCAAUUUCCUGGAGCUGUCACGUGCCUGUCCACGGCUUUGAGGAUG